AAAACUUUCAACAACGGAUCUCUUGGCUCUGGCAUCGAUGAAGAACGCAGCGAAAUGCGAUAAGUAAUGUGAAUUGCAGAAUUCAGUGAAUCAUCGAAUCUUUGAACGCACAUUGCGCCCGCUAGUAUUCUGGCGGGCAUGCCUGUUCGAGCGUCAUUUCAACCCUCAAGCUCAGCUUGGUGUUGGGG
rnacentral:rRNA from 1 species